CUUGACGAUCAUAGAGCGUUGGAACCACCUGAUCCCUUCCCGAACUCAGAAGUGAAACGACGCAUCGCCGAUGGUAGUGUGGGGUCUCCCCAUGUGAGAGUAGGU
rnacentral:rRNA from 1 species